GCGUGAGUAGUAUAAUGGUUAUUAUCUCGGUUUCCCAUACCGAGGACCCGAGUUCGAUUCUCGGCUCACGCA
rnacentral:tRNA from 1 species